UUAUUAAAUUUUAUUAAUUUAAUAAUGUUUUUUAUUGAUAAUUAUAAUUUUGUCUUCAGGUAUCAGUUCAUAACUGGAAGAAAAGAAUUUUGAAAUAAGAAACAUACAUUACCAGUGGGGGGUGAGAGCAGCUGGUAGUAAUGUCAGUCUAUAUGGAUUUACUAAUAUAACAAUGGCAGAUACCAACUUUACCAUUAUAUCAGCUCUCUUUGUUUCUGAUGAAUUGAUCGUUUCUGUAAACGACAGUACUUCUUAUAGUCUUCAUUUUAACGUAUCUUUACCAUGUGACUAUAACGACUUGUUUAAUAA